AGAUACUUAGAAAUCAUCUGGUCCAAGCCCCCGGCUCAGAGAUGAGGACAGGGAGCCCCAGAGACCACUCGACUUGACCAAGGACACAGGAGGCUCAGGGCAGACCUGGGAGUCUCUGGGACGUGCUUGGACCUGGGCCUGUGGGACAAGGAUGAAAUCAUCAACACUGGACCCACCCUAACUCUGGUGAAAUAGGACAAGAAGUUUGCAAAUUCUGUUGUGGACACCAGUGCAUGUAGGUCCCUGGAAGGCACACGCUCUCUGACAUUUCCUAGAGACUGCAAUGCUUUAACUCAAGAAAGAAAUUCCUCCUAGCAAAAUCACCCUUGGGAGAGAAUGUUGGUCCUUACAGGCCAACAGUGGCUGCUCUCCCAAGGUGUUCCUUCUGGGCAAGUGGAGAGACACAGCCCCAGCAAAGAAGCCCGGUGAGUGCCUUUAUCUAUUCCAGCCAGAAUUCCAGGUGCUCGCCACACACAGUCUUCUGAGGGCUGUGCUAAGAAUUCUGCUUAUUUAUAGAAAGACAUGGGUGAUGCUAAUCCACAGCUAAGUGCGAGGGUUGGG
rnacentral:lncRNA from 1 species